GGGCGGUUAGCUCAGUUGGUUAGAGUACUUGCUCGACACGCAAGGGGUCACAGGUUCGAAUACCGUACCGCCCAUCA
rnacentral:tRNA from 1 species